GUGUGGGAUGGGUGGAGCCAUUUUGGGUAGUCCAGGGGCUGGAUUUGGGCAUGGUGGGGUGGCCACCCCCAACCUGGCAUCUCCACCUGGAGGGGUCCCCAAUAUUUGGGGUCCCAAAUCUGCCCAUCCAGGUGUCCCAAGUUUGCCCACACCACGGGUCCCAAGUUUGUGGGGUCCCACAUCCCUGAGGUGUCCCUGCCCACCCAGGGGUCCCAAUUUUUUGGGUUCUCCUGCCCACCGAGUUGUCCUCACCCAAUUGGUGCCCAUGCCAAGCCCCCCACAGCCCCCAUCCCUGCCGGGGACAGGGGGACAGGGUGCUGGGGGGACAGGGGGACAGAGUGACAGAGCAACAGGAGCCCUGCCACCCCCGUGCCCCAGGACCAGGUGGGACCAGAGACGUUUCCAUUGCACCCCUGCCCCCAGCCCCACCCUGAGGAACCCCCUGCCCCCCCUUUGUCAGCUGGGGGGGGCUUGGUGGCAUGCAGGACCCCCUCUCUGUGCCAUCCCCGAGGCAGCACCUGCGCUUUUUGACCCUGCCACCUGCCAGUUUGUCCAAGCGGGAGGUGGUCCAUGUCCUCCAGAAGGGGGGGAGUGACAACAUUUUUGGGGGCACCUCGGCCACUUACACCCCUCUGCAUCCCCCUAAGGAUGCUGCAUGACCCUACAUCCCCCCCCCCCCCCCAGACCUCACCUCCUCUUCCUCUGGGAGGUGAUGUCGCUUCUCCCACUGGGGACUCACUGGUGAAACUGGGGGACACCAUGGGUCACCCCUCAAAGGGACUGAAGGGUGGCAGUUGCUCCUGGAGUCCCCCUGAUAUGACAGCUGGGGGGCCCAGGAUGCUGCAGUGACAGUUUGGGGAGUGGGUGCUUGUUUUGGGGUCUCCAGCUGGGUCCCAAAGUCCCCUCCCAUCACCUCAAAGCCACUCCCAGCCAGUGCCUCAGUUUCCCUCCUGCUCUGCAGGGACCACCUGGCACCAGUGUUCUGGAAUUGGGUUUAUUUUGGGGAGUUUGGGGGUUGGGGCUACUGGGAUGGGCUGGUGGACCAGUGGGGUAGGCCAGGGUGUGGCCAGGCCGGUGGUCAUCUGGGCUGGGGUCCGGCCAGACUGGGAGGCUGCAGGACCGGGGUCAUCCAGAGCAGUGUCCAGCUGACAUACAUGGAUCUGUGUCCAUCCGGACCUGUGUCCAUCCAGAGCAGGAUCCACGGCUCUGGUGUCCAUCUGGACCAGGGUCCAACCUCUCCUGCCUCUGUCCAUCCCAGGCCCCCUGGCCAGAGCCACUCCUCACUGCAGAGUGGACAAGACCCACAAUCCAUCCCAAGAUGGCCACAAACCCCCUCCCACCAAGCCCACCAGGCCACCGACCCUGAGCCCUGGGGUGCUAUGGGUGGUGGGGAAACAAGCACACAAUCCAUAUGAUUGAUAGCAAGCUCCAACUUUAUUCAAAGAUACACUUAGCUUAUUUAGGGUGUUCUACAAGCAUAGUCAGCCGUAAGCUCUGAUUGGUUAAUUUACAAAGCUCUUUGUUUUACUUCUCCUGUGUGCAGUUACAGCUGUAGCUAAGUUCUCCUAAGCCAAGUUCUCACCUCUAAGUCAUGUCUUCCAAGGACAUGUCAUCUUUGUUGAGCAUAUCUUCAAGGCUAUGCCUGUCCUUAUUAUUUCAUUCCCAAACCUUGUACAGCUAUGCAGUUUCCCAGGCCUAGACACAGAGAUGGGUUUCCAAGCUCUGUUCCCAGGUCAGACACAGCCUGAUUCUGGGGUCUUAAACAGAGGUUUUUUGGAACAGGUAUUGCAUAGAAUCAUGGCUUUGUUCCAACAACCAUUCUCCAACAAUUCCCCCUUCUUUCUUUUGCACAAGCAUUGCUUGAUUGGUGACAGAUGGGGCAAUUUGAUGUAUGACUCUCUGAAGGCAAGCACAAAUACAUGGUGAAAAGCAUACAAUCAUCAAAAUCACUAAACCAAGCAUGAUUAAAUAUUGAAUGAUAGAACGAAGCCAUGGUCCCAGGCCCAAUGAUUUUAGCCAGUCAUCUAACCCAAAUCCAUCCUCUUGCUGUAACUGAGUAGUAAGCCUAUGCAAUUCAUUAAUUUGCUUGUGUAUUGAUUUGCAGUGAUCAGACAGAUUCAUGCAACACAUUCCUUCAAAAUCCUCACAACCAUGUCCCUGAGCCAAUAGUAAAAAGUCAAUAGCAGCAUGAUUUUACAAAGUAGUAUGCUGAACAGAAUCAAUAUCUGACAAAAGAUUAGACAGUGCAGCAGAUGUAGCAUUAGUUUGUUUGGCAAGCCAACAACCUAAUCUGUUCAGUGUUGUUUGUGCCUUAGCCGCUGCAGCUCCUGGGACAAAAAUAGAAGCAGCUACAAUUGCUCUUUGGGACUAAAACUUUAUAUUAUCUCUGCAGUCGCUCUGAAAAGCAUGGGUCAUUCUUUUUUGUCUAUGCUGUCGGUAUACAUUUAAUAUCAUGGACAGGUUUGGUGUCAAUAGAGACAGUCGACCAAUGGUGCAGGGACCCACUUUGAGUUUAGAAGGGAUACCAGACCAGGCACGAUCCCCACAAAUAAGGAAGUACCCAGUAGGUAGCUGCAGUGGAGAUUCAGAAGAAACUGAGGCAUGUGCUGAAGUGUAAUUACACCAAUAAGAAGAAUUUCUAUAUAUUGGGAGGCUAGAAUUUGCUGACACCGAAUACUUAUUGUUGGGAUUCUGUUGUUGAACACUGUUCCAAUUGAAAAUAAUAUAUGCAUCAGCCUUAAAUGAUCCCAAAAGCUCUAACUCUUGUGGUUCAAGAGGAGCAAGAGGGAGGUGAGGAACCCAAGAAUGCCAAUUAUCCACAUUGUUUUGGGGCUGUGUUACCUUACAGGUUGGUAUGUUCUGAGGGCAAGGCCAAUUUUCGACAGGAACUCCUACCAGGCAGGUAGAAAACGGAUUUCCAGGUGAGGAUAAAGACAAACAAAUAGCACCCUGAUUUGUCAGUUUAGCUAAGGUGACCCAUAUAUUUGUUUUUGUCUGUACAGGAGCCCAAGCAUUAACAUGUGACAAAAUUGACAGUAGCAAAACUAAAGGUAACAUUUUGUCUACAAAUACCAUCCUCUUUCUACAUUAUAUUCUCGACCUAAGUGUUUAUACUGACAAGACUCUACCUUAUUACACACAAAUAAUCUUGCUAAGUGAAGCAAUUUAAUCAGUCUAAAUGCCAGUAAUCCUAGCUCUCUUUCUUCUAUGUUUUCUCCCAGAGCACUCAAUUAUGCUUGUGAAGCACGAGGUUGAUAAAACCACCUGCGAAGAGCAAAAACUGGAUUAUCAGUAUGUAAGGGUCUCCAACAAUCAAUACACUCGUUAAGUAUGCAAAAAUCUCUACUUUGAAAUGCCUUUCUACAACCUAUACAUACAAUCACAAUUAAGGUAACUUGAUGCCCCAAGCACCCACAAGUCACAUGCAUUAUUAAAUUCUUUCUGUGCUUGUAACGAUAAUGUAGUGCUAUAGCCACUCGUGAUCCUACAUCAGGGCUAGUCCAAUCAAGAUUAAUAUCUAAAACUUCAUUUAUUUGCUGAAGAAUAGGUUCAAGCCAUAAUUGUUGUCGGUGGAGUCUUCUGGCGAUGGUGGAGGUGUCGGUGGCUGUGAUGGAACAGGAUGUGUCCACUUACUGGGAACCCGCAAGGGACCUGUAGGUGUAGACACACACAUGUGACCUCGACCCAUAUAAUUUACAGGUGCUGGUCCUGACCAUAUCCCUGUAGCAGGAUGCCUAUACAUUACAGUUAUUGAUUUUUCUACAGCAUUUUGUUUUGCAGUAUCCCAUGUGUGUAUGCAGGAGGUGUGUCAUAAACACCAAAUAUGCAAAGAUGAUUUAAAGGGAAUAAUGCUUUUGCCAGUCUUUCCUGAGGAACAGUGAUUGUCUUAAAUUUUGCAAGAUAUUGUUUUAAGGUUUGAUUUGCCCUUUCUACUGUAGCCUGACUUGUGGGGGAGUGUGAAAUUUCUGUAACACCCCAUUGCUGCAAAAAACAAUUAACUUUCUUCCCUACAUAUGCAGGUGCAUUAUCUGUUUUGAUAGUUCUAGGUACCCCUAAAAUAAUAAAGCACAGUGUUAAAUGCCUAAUAACAUGAACUGCUUUCUCUCCAGCUUGAGGAGAGGCCCAAAUGUGAGAAGUGACUGUAGGUGUCAAUGACCACAUGGACAUAACGUAAAUGCCCAAAUUCAUUCACAUUAGUCACGUCCAUUUGCCACAACUCACUGGGGCCCAGACCUCCUGGAUUUACCCCCAGGCCAAGACAUGGUCCAUUGUGAUGACUGCAGUCUGGACAUGCUCUGACAAUUCCUCGGGCUUCCUCUAUGGUAAUAUCAAAGCGAUGUCAUUGCCGUUUUGCAUUCUAAUGAAAUGAGGCAUGGGCAUUGAGUGCUUUUGUAAAAUUGUCCCUGGGUACAGUCACUGAUACCAGCUGAUCAGCAUUGCCUUCCCUUAAUCCUUCCAUCCACUUAUGACUCCUGAUGUGAAAGAUUGCAUAUGGAGCAGCUCUUUGAUGGCAGACUGUAGAUGUGCAAAAAGUGUGUUCAAGUGUUGGUUUUGCACUUCUCUCAGCAAUGCAUCUUCAAUGCGCUGCACUACUCCAGGUGCAUAUAGAGAGUCAGACACAGCAUUUAUGGGGUCAUGCAUCCAUCUGCAAAAUGCACACACAAUAGCUGAAAGUUCUAAUGUCUGCAGAGUGUCUGAGGCCAGUCCUUCUAUUAAGAUGUGAUUCCAUUGUCCUUGCUCAUUCCAGGUAAGAGCAGCUUUUUGUGAUUUGGGGCCUGUAUCUGUGUAUACAGUGAUAGCAUCCAUCAGUGGUGUUUCACUAUAUUUUGGUUGUGAUAGCCAUGUCUGUGAGGACAUCCAGCGUAGAAUAGAUGAAGAUAGUGGAGACAACUGAAUUUCUGCACCAUAUUCCAAAAUGCUAGCUUGUAAUUCAGGAUAGUGUUGUAAAAACCAAUCCAAAUCAGCCUGUUUUAUUGGAACAAAGAGUCUUUGUGGCUCUUCUCCAGUGACCUGUAACACACGUUUCUGACUUUUUCGAAUUAACAGUGCAAGUGCAUCUAUACAUGGCUGAAUAGAAUUGCAAGGUUGCAUAGGUCCAAACACCUAUUCUAACACUUUUACAUCUUGCUUCUUUUCCCCUUUUUCUUCCAAUUGCUGAGUUAGAGCACCUAAAGUUGUUUUGGCUGAGACAGAAUAGUAAUGUCUAUGGGCAAGUCAGGAUUAUUGUGAUUAACAGCUUUUUGGGCAACAGAAGCAGCAAUAUUUGUUACUACUUCUCGUUGCUUAUCAGUCAAUUGAAUAGGUGCUGCAGGAUCUGUGCCUUUCAGCAAUGGUCUCAGUUCAUCAAGCUCAUCAUUGGUAAUGUCUACAACCGGACGGAGCCACUGAAUGUCUCCCAUAAAUCUUUGCAUGUCAUGUAAGGUUUUGAAAUUGAGCUGCAAAUAAACUUUUUGUGGCCGAAUAUGCCUAUCAGAAAUUACCCAGCACAUGUAUUUCCAGGGAGCAGAGCUCUGUACUUUUUCUGGAGCUACACACAAAUUGUUACUUUGGAACUGCACAAAAAUGAAAGCCUCUUGCUGAGCUGUGAAUGAGCUUUCUUGUGCAAACAGAAUGUCAUCCCUGUAAUGAUAUAUCACAGUGCUAGGACAAGCAGCUCGAACAGGCAACAGGGCAGCGUCCACAAACAGUUGACACAGAAUAGGGCUACAUUUCAUUCCCUGUAGCAAGGACACCCACUCAUAUCGAUUAGCUGGUGCUUCACAAUUUAGGAAAGGUACUGUGAAAGCAAAUCUUUUACUGUCAUUUGGAUGGAUGCCAGUUGUAAAGAAACAGUCUUUAAAAUCAAUGAUAAGAAGGUUCCAGCACUCGGGCAGUAUGGCUGGAUGUGGGAGGCCUGGCUGUAGUGCUCCCACUGAUUCUAUCUGGGCAUUAACUGCACAUAAAUCGUGAAGCAAAUGGAAUUUCCCUGAUUUUUUCUUAAUAAAAAAUAUGGGAUUAUUGCAGGGGCUCAUUGAGGGUUUAAUGUGACCUUGCUGUAACUGUUCAGCAACAAGGGCAUGAACUUUCUCUUUUGCUUUUUCUGUUGCAGGCUUUCUCUUCUCAGCGGCCACUGCUCGAUCCACACUGGAUCAUCAGAUUUCCAGCCCAGACCUGAUGGCCACACGCUCUAUUAAAAUGCCAGUUUGGCUUGUCACCGUGCUCUGCAUCUUAAAAGAAGGAGACUGGAGACUGGCUUGGGAACAUUUUAGCUGGCUGGGGAUUCUCAGGAUGGGUGAGCUCAAUUGUCAAAACAAAACUUCUAGUCUUACUUAUUUUUAUUCUUAUUUUAUUUGUUUUUGGUGUCAUCCGGCACAUGAUAUCUCAGUUGAUAGCCAAGGCAACAGACAUCCCAAGCAUCAACCAUGUUGCAGCUCCAUCAGCUUCCGAUCUAGAAGAUGAAGUUCCACCAGUCCCAGAUCCUAGAGAUGCAUCAUGGACUGAAACAGGGCCUAUCCGCCAGCCUUGGUUUGCAGGCACCUACCCUGAAUCUGAGUUUCUCCCCUGUAUGGAGGUUACCCCCGUUUGAAAGACUGAGUUUUCUCACUCGUUCAUUUGUAUUGAAAAAAGGGGGAGAUGUUGUACUGUGUUAUUGAGUUUGUUCAGUUUGUUCAGUGGUUUAGUCCUGUACCCCCUGGUAAGUGGUCCUGCCCUCCCUUGCCUACUCCCAUCCCUAUGUCAAUCCUCCUUUCCCUCCUCCACUGAAAUGUUUCCCUUCUGAGGACCCUGCCCCUGGACCUGUCCAUCACUCGGCAGCCCUUCCUUUCUUUCUGGAAGGUUCUACCCAGAACAUCGAGUGAUAGGCCGGACAGCCAGGUCUCCUCCUACCCUCUUUCCCCAUUGGUGUUCCCUCAUGUAUGUCACCCUGAUAUCCACACCCCUGUUUGAUCUCAUUGGCCCACGUAGGGCCAUCCCCUGGUUACACUCACUGUUAUAAGCCUGUGCAAAAGGCUGCUCAAGGCUUUUGCAGGCAGUUUACCCUCUAAGAUGGGAAGCUCUUCUUAGCUGCCCAAUAAAGUUGGAUUACAAGCCCCUGCAA